rnacentral:rRNA from 1 species
AUGGGGCGGCUCUUCCUGACGAGCCUGGCGCCGGCGACCGGCACCAUCUACUGCUGCAAGCACUGCGACUCCCACCUCGCCUACGCCCAGCACAUCAUCUCCAAGAUGUUCCGCUGCAAGCACGGCAAGGCCUACCUCUUCGACAAGGUCGUGAACGUGGUCGCCGGGGAGAGCGAGGACGACCGGAUGAUGACCACGGGCCUGCACACCGUCCGCGACAUCUUCUGCGUCGCCUGCGGAGCCAUCCUCGGCUGGAAAUACGUGUCUGCCUUUGACAAGGACCAGAGGUAUAAGGAGGGCAAGUUCAUCCUGGAAAGGCGCAGGUGCAAGAUCCAUUCGGGCGGAGGCGGCCCUCCCGACCGCAUCCAGCUGUGGGCUGAGCGCGACGCUCGCAUAAGCUCCAGCGAGGAUGACGACCAGGGCGCCGUGUGA